rnacentral:rRNA from 1 species
GACGGAGGAUGCAAGCGUUAUCCGGAAUUAUUGGGCGUAAAGAGCUUGUAGGCGGUUUGUCGCGUCUGCUGUGAAAUUUCGGGGCUCAACCCCGAACUUGCAGUGGGUACGGGCAGACUAGAGUGUGGUAGGGGAGACUGGAAUUCCUGGUGUAACGGUGAAAUGCGCAGAUAUCAGGAGGAACACCGAUGGCGAAGGCAGGUCUCUGGGCCACUACUGACGCUGAGAAGCGAAAGCAUGGGGAGCGAACAGG